rnacentral:rRNA from 1 species
UACGUAGGGUGCGAGCGUUAAUCGGAAUUACUGGGCGUAAAGCGUGCGCAGGCGGCGCGUUAAGACAGGUGUGAAAGCCCCGAGCUUAACUUGGGAAUUGCGCUUGUGACUGGCGAGCUGGAGUGUGGCAGAGGGAGGUGGAAUUCCACGUGUAGCAGUGAAAUGCGUAGAGAUGUAGAGGAACACCGGUGGCGAAGGCGGGUCUCUGGGCCGAUACUGACGCUGAGGAGCGAAAGCGUGGGGAGCGAACAGG